UUGUAACGUUUACCAUUAGCGGUAUAUUUAAUAGCUUCUUGAAUGUGCCCGAUGUCUAAACGUGUUUGAUGAUAUCCCAAGACCAUUCAACAUUGUGCGUGUAGUCAAAAGUUCGCUUUGUCAAGAAAUGUAGCAUGAAAACCCUACCUGAAUAUGAACCACCGAGAACGAACUAAUAUCAAACUGUCCACGCACAGGACAUGGAUCAGAAAAUAUCUGAACAGGGCGAAGGAACACAAAGGUAGGUGAAGACGGUCCGGCUACCGGCUAGCAUACCAACUGAUCAUACACCCGCGCUCCUAUGGCGGAGGCACGAGUCGGCCCUGCCGCUCCGCGGAGCUGCACGUGUUGUGUGCAGAGGAGGCUCUACAGGCCAUGCGUCCGCUGUUGCGGCCGGGUCUGCGGGGCCGCCUGGCGCCCUCGCUGGCGCUGUUGGUCUCGGCGUUGGAAGAGGUGGCAGAGCCUGACUACAGCUGGAGGGCCGAGCUCAU